GGUUUGUGGCACAGUGGUAGAGUGCUUGCCUAGUAUGUGUGAGGCACUGAGUUCAAUUUUCAGCACCA
rnacentral:tRNA from 1 species